UACGUAGGGUGCGAGCGUUGUCCGGAAUUACUGGGCGUAAAGAGCUCGUAGGCGGUCUGUCGCGUCUGCUGUGAAAACUCAGGGCUUAACCCUGAGCUUGCAGUGGGUACGGGCAGACUAGAGUGCGGUAGGGGAGACUGGAAUUCCUGGUGUAGCGGUGAAAUGCGUAGAGAUGCGGAGGAACACCGAUGGCGAAGGCAGCCCCCUGGGCCAACACUGACGCUCAGGCACGAAAGCGUGGGGAGCAAACGAGGAU
rnacentral:rRNA from 1 species